GAUAUAACUGUAUAUCAACACGGAAAAUGUUUUAUAUUUAACAAAUAUAAAACAAAUAUAAAACAUUUUCCGUGUUGAUAUACAGUUAUAUC